UUCCAAUUGGAACGCUUUGGGAUGAGUCUGCGGCUCAUUACCUUGUUGGUGGGGUAAAGGCCUACCAAGGCAACGAUGAGUAGCCGGCCUGAGAGGGUGAACGGCCACACUGGGACUGAGACACGGCCCAGACUCCUACGGGAGGCAGCAGCUAAGAAUCUUCCGCAAUGGACGCAAGUCUGACGGAGCGACGCCGCGUGAACGAUGAAGGCGGAAACGUUGUAAAGUUCUUUUCCUGAUGAAGAAUAAUGAGAGGAGUGGAAAGCCUUUCAGAUGACAUUAUUCAGGGAAUAAGCCCCGGCUAAUUACGUGCCAGCAGCCGCGGUAAUACGUAUGGGGCAAGCGUUGUUCGGAUUUAUUGGGCGUAAAGGGCGCGCAGGCGGUUUAACAAGCUUGAUGUAAAAUAUCCCGGCUUAACUGGGGACACGCGUUGGGAACUGUUAGACUAGAGUUUAGAAGGGGAAACUGGAAUUCCUAGUGUAGGGGUGAAAUCUGUAGAGAUUAGGAAGAACACCAAUGGCGAAGGCAAGUUUCUGGUCAUAGACUGACGCUGAGGCGCGAAAGCGUGGGGAGCGAACAGGAUUAGAUACCCUGGUAGUCCACGCUGUUAACGAUGUGCACUAGGUGUAGGAUAUUGAAUAUAUUCUGUGCCGUAGCUAACGCGUUAAGUGCACCGCCUGUGGAGUAUGCUCGCAAGGGUGAAACUCAAAGGAAUUGACGGGGGCCCGCACAAGCGGUGGAGCAUGUGGUUUAAUUCGACGAUACGCGAGAAACCUUACCAGGGCUUGACAUUUACAUGACGGUUUAAGAGAUUAGGCCUUCCUUUCGGGGACAUGUAAACAGGUGCUGCAUGGUUGUCGUCAGCUCGUGUCGUGAGAUGUUGGGUUAAGUCCCGCAACGAGCGCAACCCUUAUUGUCUGUUGCCAGCAUUUCGGAUGGGGACUCAGACAAAACUGCCGGUGACAAACCGGAGGAAGGUGGGGAUGACGUCAAAUCAUCAUGGCCCUUAUGUCCUGGGCUACGCACGUGCUACAAUGGCAAGUACAAAGCGUUGCGAAAAGGUGACUUCAAGCUAAUCGCAAAAAGCUUGCCUCAGUUCGGAUUGGAGUCUGAAACUCGACUCCAUGAAGUUGGAAUCGCUAGUAAUCGCGCAUCAGCAUGGCGCGGUGAAUAUGUUCCCGGGCCUUGUACACACCGCCCGUCACACCACCCGAGUUGGGGGUACCCGAAGUCGCUAGUCUAACUUUUAGAGGACAGUGCCGAAGGUAUGCCUGGUAAGGGGGGUGAAGUCGUAACAAGGUA
rnacentral:rRNA from 1 species